GUGGGGAAUAUUGCGCAAUGGGCGAAAGCCUGACGCAGCGACGCCGCGUGAGGGAUGAAGGUUUUCGGAUCGUAAACCUCUGUCAGAAGGGAAGAAACUACAUUGUGCUAAUCAGCAGUGUACUGACGGUACCUUCAAAGGAAGCACCGGCUAACUCCGUGCCAGCAGCCGCGGUAAUACGGAGGGUGCAAGCCUUAAUCGGAAUUACUGGGCGUAAAGCGCACGUAGGCUGUAGUGUAAGUCAGGGGUGAAAUCCCACGGCUCAACCGUGGAACUGCCUUUGAUACUGCACAACUUGAAUCCGGGAGAGGGUGGCGGAAUUCCAGGUGUAGGAGUGAAAUCCGUAGAUAUCUGGAGGAACAUCAGUGGCGAAGGCGGCCACCUGGACCGGUAUUGACGCUGAGGUGCGAAAGCGUGGGGAGCAAACAGGAUUAGAAACCCUUGUAGUCC
rnacentral:rRNA from 1 species